rnacentral:rRNA from 1 species
ACAGUGGACGCGAGCAUCUGUGGCCAAGUUUUUAAGGGCGCACGGUGGAUGCCUUGGCACCAGGAACCGAUGAAGGACGUGGGAGGCCACGAUAGUCCCCGGGGAGUCGUCAACCAGGCUUUGAUCCGGGGGUUUCCGAAUGGGGAAACCCGGCAGUCGUCAUGGGCUGUCACCCGCUGCUGAACUCAUAGGCAGUGUGGAGGGAACGCGGGGAAGUGAAACAUCUCAGUACCCGCAGGAAGAGAAAACAACCGUGAUUCCGGGAGUAGUGGCGAGCGAAACUGGAUGAGGCCAAACCGUAUGUGUGUGAUACCCGGCAGGGGUUGCGCAUGCGGGGUUGUGGGAUCUCUCUUCCACGGUCUGCCGGCCGUGGGACGAGUCAGAAACCGUUGAUGUAGGCGAAGGACAUGCGAAAGGUCCGGCGUAGAGGGUAAGACCCCCGUAGUCGAAACAUUAGCGGCUCGUUUGAGAGACACCCAAGUAGCACGGGGCCCGAGAAAUCCCGUGUGAAUCUGGCGGGACCACCCGCUAAGCCUAAAUAUUCCCUGGUGACCGAUAGCGGAUAGUACCGUGAGGGAAUGGUGAAAAGUACCGCGGGAGCGGAGUGAAAUAGUACCUGAAACCGUGUGCCUACAAGCCGUGGGAGCGUCGCGCAUCGAGUCUUGCUCGGUGCGUCGUGACUGCGUGCCUUUUGAAGAAUGAGCCUGCGAGUUAGCGGUGUGUAGCGAGGUUAACCCGUGUGGGGAAGCCGUAGCGAAAGCGAGUCCGAAGAGGGCGUUUGAGUUGCACGCUCUAGACCCGAAGCGGAGUGAUCUAGCCAUGGGCAGGUUGAAGCGGCUGUAAGAGGUCGUGGAGGACCGAACCCACCAGGGUUGAAAACCUGGGGGAUGACCUGUGGUUAGGGGUGAAAGGCCAAUCAAACUCCGUGAUAGCUGGUUCUCCCCGAAAUGCAUUUAGGUGCAGCGUCGUGUGUUUCUUGCCGGAGGUAGAGCACUGGAUAGGCGAUGGGCCCUACCGGGUUACUGACCUUAGCCAAACUCCGAAUGCCGGUAAGUGAGAGCGCGGCAGUGAGACUGUGGGGGAUAAGCUCCAUGGUCGAGAGGGAAACAGCCCAGAGCAUCGACUAAGGCCCCUAAGCGUACGCUAAGUGGGAAAGGAUGUGGAGUCGCAGAGACAACCAGGAGGUUGGCUUAGAAGCAGCCACCCUUGAAAGAGUGCGUAAUAGCUCACUGGUCUAGUGAUUCCGCGCCGACAAUGUAGCGGGGCUCAAGCGUACCGCCGAAGUCGUGUCAUUGCAGCAA